rnacentral:rRNA from 1 species
AGAGUUUGAUCAUGGCUCAGGAUGAACGCUAGCUACAGGCUUAACACAUGCAAGUCGAGGGGCAGCAUUUUAGUUUGCUUGCAAACUAAAGAUGGCGACCGGCGCACGGGUGAGUAACACGUAUCCAACCUGCCGAUAACUCGGGGAUAGCCUUUCGAAAGAAAGAUUAAUAUCCGAUGGUAUAUUAAAACCGCAUGGUUUUACUAUUAAAGAAUUUCGGUUAUCGAUGGGGAUGCGUUCCAUUAGUUUGUUGGCGGGGUAACGGCCCACCAAGACUACGAUGGAUAGGGGUUCUGAGAGGAAGGUCCCCCACAUUGGAACUGAGACACGGUCCAAACUCCCACGGGAGGCAUCA